UACGUAGGGUGCAAGCGUUGUCCGGAAUUAUUGGGCGUAAAGAGCUCGUAGGCGGUUUGUCGCGUCGAAUGUGAAAACCCGGGGCUCAACCCCGGGCCUGCAUUCGAUACGGGCAGACUAGAGUUCGGUAGGGGAGUCUGGAAUUCCUGGUGUAGCGGUGAAAUGCGCAGAUAUCAGGAGGAACACCGGUGGCGAAGGCGGGACUCUGGGCCGAUACUGACGCUGAGGAGCGAAAGCGUGGGGAGCGAACAG
rnacentral:rRNA from 1 species